rnacentral:tRNA from 1 species
UCCCUGGUGGCUCAGAUGGUAAAGCUUCUGCCUACAAUAUUGGAGACCCAGGUUCAAUCCCUGGGCUGGGGAA